UACGUAGGGUGCAAGCGUUGUCCGGAAUUAUUGGGCGUAAAGAGCUCGUAGGCGGUUUGUCGCGUCUGCUGUGAAAAUCCAGGGCUUAACCCUGGACCUGCAGUGGGUACGGGCAGACUGGAGUGCGGUAGGGGAGAUCGGAAUUCCUGGUGUAGCGGUGAAAUGCGCAGAUAUCAGGAGGAACACCGGUGGCGAAGGCGGGUCUCUGGGCCGAUAUUGACGCUGAGGAGCGAAAGCGUGGGGAGCGAACAGG
rnacentral:rRNA from 1 species